rfam:Felis catus isolate Cinnamon breed Abyssinian chromosome E1, whole genome shotgun sequence.
GCCUGGGUGGCUCAGUCGGUUGAGCGUCUGACUUCGGCUCAGAUCGUGGUCUCACGGACCGUGGGUUCCAGCCCUGCGUCGGGCU